AGAGGGCAGAAGUAGCCAAGGCUACCAGUCAUAUCUGUGAGGUGGAGAAGGAAAUUGCCCUGCUGAAGGCACAGCAUGAGCAGUAUGUUGCAGAAGCUGAGGAGAAGCUGCAGCGGGCACGGUUGCUGGUGGAAAACGUGAGGAAGGAGAAGGUGGAUCUGUCCAAUCAGCUGGAGGAGGAGAGGAGGAAGGUGGAGGACCUGCAGUUCCGGGUGGAAGAAGAGUCCAUCACCAAAGGAGACUUGGAGCUGACCACAGUGGCUGAGAAGUCUCGGGUGCUGCAGUUAGAAGAAGAGCUGAGCCUGCGGCGUGGUGAGAUCGAAGAGCUACAACACUGCCUCCUCCAGUCAGGUCCACCACCUGCGGACCACCCAGAGGCCGCUGAGACCCUGCGGCUGCGAGAGCGGCUGCUGUCGGCUAGCAAGGAGCACCAGCGGGACAGCACCCUGCUCCAGGACAAGUAUGAGCACAUGCUAAAGACGUACCAGACAGAAGUGGACAAGCUUCGGGCAGCCAACGAGAAGUACGCUCAGGAAGUGGCAGACCUCAAGGCCAAGGUCCAGCAGGCCACCACCGAGAACAUGGGGCUCAUGGACAACUGGAAAUCCAAGCUGGACUCUCUGGCCUCCGAUCACCAGAAAUCUUUAGAAGACCUGAAGGCCACGCUGAACUCUGGCCCAGGCGCCCAGCAGAAGGAGAUUGGCGAGCUGAAGGCCCUGGUGGAGGGCAUCAAAAUGGAGCACCAACUGGAGUUAGGGAACCUGCAGGCCAAGCAUGACUUAGAGACGGCCAUGCAUGGGAAGGAGAAAGAGGGCCUGCGGCAGAAGCUGCAAGAGGCCCAGGAGGAGCUGGCCGGGCUGCAGCAGCACUGGAGGGCACAGCUGGAGGAGCAGGCCAGCCAGCACCGGCUGGAGCUACAAGAAGCCCAGGACCAAUGUCGUGACGCCCAGCUACGUGUGCAGGAGCUGGAGGGACUGGAUGUGGAAUACCGCGGCCAGGCUCAGGCCAUCGAGUUCCUCAAAGAACAGAUCUCGCUGGCUGAAAAGAAGAUGCUGGAUUACGAGAUGUUGCAGAGGGCGGAAGCCCAGAGCAGGCAGGAGGCCGAGCGGCUGCGGGAAAAGCUUCUGGUGGCUGAGAAUAGACUGCAGGCUGUCGAGUCCCUGUGCUCAGCCCAGCACAGCCAUGUGAUCGAGUCCAAUGACCUUUCUGAGGAGAAGAUUCGGAUGAAGGAGACUGUGGAGGGCCUGCAGGACAAGCUGAACAAGAGGGACAAAGAGGUGGCAGCCUUGACAUCCCAGAUGGACAUGCUCAGGGCCCAACUCUCGAGAACAAGUGCAAAUCAGGAGAGAAGAAGAUAGACUCUCUCCUGAAGGAGAAGAGGCGGCUGGAGGCAGAGCUGGAGGCCGUGUCUCGGAAGACCCAUGAUGCCUCUGGCCAGCUGGUCCACAUCAGCCAAGAGUUGCUACGGAAGGAGAGGAGUCUGAAUGAGCUGAGGGUGUUGCUGUUAGAAGCCAAUCGGCACUCCCCAGGGCCCGAGAGAGACCUGAGCCGUGAGGUACACAAAGCUGAAUGGCGAAUAAAGGAACAAAAACUGAAAGAUGACAUCCGGGGCCUGCGUGAAAAGCUGACCGGGCUG
rnacentral:lncRNA from 1 species